UCCUGGUUAGCUCAGUUAGUAGAUCUUUCCACUGUAUAUGGAGAGGUCUCCGGUUCGAUACCAGGACCAGGCG
rnacentral:tRNA from 1 species